rnacentral:rRNA from 1 species
CCUACGGGUGGCUGCAGUCGAGAAUCAUUCACAAUGGGGGAAACCCUGAUGGUGCGACGCCGCGUGGGGGAAUGAAGGUCUUCGGAUUGUAAACCCCUGUCAUGUGGGAGCAAAUUAAAAAGAUAGUACCACAAGAGGAAGAUACGGCUAACUCUGUGCCAGCAGCCGCGGUAAUACAGAGGUCUCAAGCGUUGUUCGGAAUCACUGGGCGUAAAGCGUGCGUAGGCUGUUUCGUAAGUCGUGUGUGAAAGGCGGGGGCUCAACCCGCGGACGGCACAUGAUACUGGUUGACUAGAGUAAUGGAGGGGGAACCGGAAUUCACGGUGUAGCAGUGAAAUGCGUAGAUAUCAGGAGGAACACUGGUGGCGAAGGCGGGUGCCUGGACAGUAACUGACGCUGAGGCACGAAGGCCAGGGGAGCGAAAGGGAUUAGAUACCCGGGUAGUC